GACUUUACAACAGCCGCGAGAUACAAUAGAGGGAACAUGCUCAGACUACAGGUCUUUUGGGUAUUGAGAAACCAAAUCAAAUGUGCUUUAAGGAUCCCGCAAAGGUAAAAGCAGGUCCUGGAAAGAAGGAGUAAAAACUAAACUAGAGGCUGAGUCCAAAGUAUGCAAUGAUCAAGAAGGAUUGUGGAUGCACAACUGUUAUGGAAAUAUAUAAAUCAGUUUUUGUGUUAAUCAUGUAUUUUUCUUAAAGUAGUAAGAGUUACCUAAGUUCUAAUUACUAUUGUAAACUUUGUGGCCUGGAGUCUACAUAGGGUGGGGGUCUGCAAGUACACUCAAAGCUAUAAAUUCAUCCAACCAUCUUGUGGAAUACUAGGCAAAGUAGG